GUCAAGAUAAGUGAGAUUGAUGAAGCUUUCCUUGGCACAACUGUGAGAAUGCUGUUGCCACAGUAGAUUGUACCGGCAUACCACAAUGACUCGCAGAGGCAGGCUAAGGAUGCGAGUGUCAUAGCUGGCAUCAAUAUCCUGCAUAUUAUCAAUGAGCCAACAUCUGCUGCCAUUACUUAUGGUCUUGACAAGAAGGCUUCCAGUGUUGGUGAAAAGAAUGCCCUCGUCUUUGACCUUGGUGGUGGUACCUUUGAUGGCUCUCUUCUCACCAUUGAGGAGGGUAUCUUUGAAGUUAAAGCCACAAUUGGUGACACUCAUCUUGGUGGUGAGGUCUUUGACAAUAGGGUGGUCAACCACUUUCUCCAGGAGUUUAAGAGGAAGAACAAGAAGGACAUUGGUGGCAAUUGAAGGCUGAGGACAUUGUGUGAAAGGGCAAAGGGAGCGCUCUCCUCCACUACGCAGACCACCAUUGAGAUUGAUUCGUUGUUUGAGGGCAUCGACUUCUACUCCACCGUUAUACAUGCCAGGUUUUAGGAGGUGAACAUGGAUCUGUUCAGGAAGUGUAUGGUGCCUGUGGAGAUGUGCCCCAGGGAAGCAAAGAUGGACAAGAGCAUCGUGCACGAUGUUGUAGGUGGUUCCACUAGGAUUCCCAUAGUGCAGCAGCUUCAUCAGGACUUCUUCAAAGGCAAGAAGCUCUGCAAGAGCAUCAACCCUGAUGAGGUUGUUGCCUACGGAGGUGUCGUCCAAGCUGCCAUCUUCAGCGGAGAGGGCAACGAGAAGGUCCAGGACCUGCUGCUAUUGGAUGUCACUCCUCUUUCUCUUGGUCUGGAAACAGUUGGGUGUACGUCAGCCAAGACGAAGUCAACAUCGAGACCAUCCAGCAGUUCGUACAUGGCAAGAUGA
rnacentral:rRNA from 1 species